rnacentral:rRNA from 1 species
GAUGAACGCUGGCGGCGUGCCUAAUACAUGCAAGUCGAGCGAAUGGAUUAAGAGCUUGCUCUUAUGAAGUUAGCGGCGGACGGGUGAGUAACACGUGGGUAACCUGCCCAUAAGACUGGGAUAACUCCGGGAAACCGGGGCUAAUACCGGAUAACAUUUUGAACCGCAUGGUUCGAAAUUGAAAGGCGGCUUCGGCUGUCACUUAUGGAUGGACCCGCGUCGCAUUAGCUAGUUGAUGAGGUAACGGCUCACCAAGGCAACGAUGCGUAGCCGACCUGAGAGGGUGAUCGGACACACUGGGACUGAGACACGGCCCAGACUCCUACGGGAGGCAGCAGUAGGGAAUCUUCCGCAAUGGACGAAAGUCUGACGGAGCAACGCCGCGUGAGUGAUGAAGGCUUUCGGGCGUAAAACUCUGUUGUUAGGGAAGAACAAGUGCUAGUUGAAUAAGCUGGCACCUUGACGGUACCUAACCAGAAAGCCACGGCUAACUACGUGCCAGCCGCCGCAGUAA